AACGAACGCUGACGGCGUGCCUAACACAUGCAAGUCGAACGAGAAAAUUCCGGCUUGCCGGGAUGAGUAAAGUGGCGCACGGGUGAGUAACACGUGGGUUAUCUGCCUUCAAGUUAGGGAUAACACUGCGAAAGCGGUGCUAAUACCUGAUAAGCUCACAGUUUUAUAAACAGUGGGAAAAGGUGGCCUCUGACAUAAGCUAUUGCUUGAAGAUGAGCUCGCGUACCAUUAGCUAGUUGGUAGGGUAAUGGCCUACCAAGGCAACGAUGGUUAGCUGGCCUGAGAGGGCGGCCAGCCACACUGGAACUGAGAUACGGUCCAGACUCCUACGGGAGGCUG
rnacentral:rRNA from 1 species